AAUAAUUGUUAAUUAAUUAUAAAUUGUUGUUAAAUCAAUUAAUUAAAUUUUUCUGAAUAAAAUGUGCUAUAAAUUAUUAGGAUAUUUGGUGAAUUUUGGCCUCAAUCAAUGGACAUGUCAUGGUUCUUGGAGCUGACAAAGGCAGCUAUUUAUUUUUUAAAUAAUAAACAAAUGAUUUUCCUCAACAGAUUGUGCUAUGAAUUUUUCUUGGCUUUUGUGAAAUUUGGCAAAAUUUAAUGGACAUGUCAAUGGCAUUGGAACCGACGAAGGCAAAUCUUUAUUUGGCAAAUACCUGACAAAUGAUAUAUAACAAAAAGUGUGGGUAAAUAUCUGAUGUGCUUAUGCAAUUAAUCAAAAAACAUUAUUAAAAAUGAAACUAAAUGACUUAAUUGGUUUGUCAUUGGAGUCAUGAUCGUUUUUGAGUACAUUAGAUCAAAUUCAUUCAUGCUAAAAAUACAUGUAACAUGAGAUUUACACAAUGAAAAAAGAAGUGUAAACAAGCAGGACUGCUUAAAUGCUAACAUACAAAAUAAAUAAUACCCAGCAAAUGAUUAUCAUAUAGUGCUAAAUUUGUCAUAAAGUACGAAAAAAAGUCAUCAAGAUCAUCUACAUAAUAUUGUGCUUCAAUAAUGAUGAGUCCUUGAUAUAAUAUUAAUUAAGACUUAAUAUUUCAACAAAAGGACGACCAAUAAUUAUUUAGAUAAAUAUUUUUGAAAUAUCCUUGAAUAUUUCAAAGUUGGGCAAGUCUGGACAUAAACCACUAUAUUUACAAUCUCAAAUUUUCUCAGAUGUAGAAAAAAAAAGAAAUUAUUUGGAUAAAUGUCAUCAUAAAAGACGAAUAAAAAAGCUCUUGAGUUUUUAUUGACACACAUUGUGCAUUUACAAUCUAUAAUAACAACAGAUUGUCAUUGUACCAAUUGAGACAAGUGAUGUAACUGUGUUGUGUUAAAAGACGAAGAAAAAAAUGUAAUGGGCUCAUUUGAUAAAUAAAUUGAUCACGAUUAUCAAGACAAGCUAUUUGAAAAUAAGUCUAAACAAGUAACAAAUCGUGAUUUUUUACACUGGUACUUUAUGAAGAAGAAUUAAAUUAACAUUAAACACAAAGUCAUGUCAAAUAACAAAUGUUGAUGUACUAAAUAUAACGAGUGAAAUGAAGUGGUGGUGUGCUGAACGACAGAGAUGAAAGUGUAAUGGAGCAAGUGGAUGGAUAAGCUAGCUACAUAUUUUAUCACGAUCAUCAGAAAAGUCAAGUUAUGAAAAUGAUAGUGAUGAUGCUCAUCGUGAUAAAAGGUAUGUUGAAUUCAGUUUUCCUUCGCAAAUCAGCGAAUAUUUACAAAGAUUUAAAAUACGAUUCGGUAUAUUGAUGACUUUGUUAACAAUGCAUUGCAUUUAACAAACAUCUAAUCAAAGACCUGUUUUGCGUUCUAAUCGGUUCGUUAGAGCUAAGAAAAAGCGUUAUUCUAUAAAUUUAUAAUUUUUAAUUAUAAAUUUGCGAAGUAAAAGAACUCAAAAU